GUCUGACAGAAGCAACACUCACACAUGGGAUAAUCAUUUAUCUCGUUUGGUCAUCUUAUUAACACACAUUGGGUUUGUUUGACAACCACAAACAUCACAUUCAUUUUAUUCUGUUACAUUAGAAAUAUAAAAUCUUAAUGUGUAUGUGUGGAUAAUCUCAUAAUGUUAAAUAUUUAGUCACAAUUCUUCAGUGCAAUGGAUAAAUUAUUUAAGGCUGUUGCUGUUAUAUUAGCCUUUCAAAAACCAGCUAAUAAUGUGUUGGAAAACCACCUUUGGUACACAAAAGUAUACAGGAUCUUAAAAACAUUGUCCGCAAGAAUAAAAGCUGCAGUCUGACAUGUGCUAUAAAUACUUAAGCAGUUGGCAGUGCCUCACCUGCUCUCUAGUGUCACCGUGAGGCUGACGAGCUAAAAUGUAACGCUGCUCCUAUUUCCUUUCAACACUCUAGAUCAGGGGUGGGCAACUCCAGGCCUCGAGUCCAACACAGCUCCUUGAUCCAACACAGCUGAUUUAAGUGGCUAAAUUAGCUCCUCAACAUGUCCUGAAGUUCUCCAGAGGCCUGGUAACGAACGAAUCGUUUUAAUUCAGGUGUGUUGACCCAAGGUGAGAUUCAAAACCUGCAGGACACCGGCCCUCGAGGCCUGGAAUUGCCCACACCUGCUCUAGAUAAUGCAAAGACACAGGAACCUACAGACUGCAUUUUGGUUUAAUCCUUUAUUAUGUGUUAAGAAAAUCCACAAUGAAACAAAAAUAAUUUACUCAGGGUGAACAUGAAAUAAGAACACAGCUACGCAGGAUACAUAGGGUUCAGGAACAUAGAGAAGAGGGAGGGCAAAGGAGCAUCAUCUACUUGGGAAUGAACAGACGAGGAAAACUUGGGUUUUCUGUGCUGGAUAUGCUGUUCAGAACACAGCGCAGUUGAAAGUUUGCUUGUAAGAAGUCUCUCCGAACACAUAAACCCUCUCUGAAUGCGUUUACUCGUCACGUUUUGUUUCAAACACAGCCUAUCAAAAUGGAAGAGUUAAAUACAGAACUCCCAAGUAAGUGUUUUUUGUGAUUUCUUGCACACAUUCACUGACAGUUUCACACACACACACACACACACACAGUCAUAGCAUUCUUUCAAUCACUUUAACCUCACUCGUAAGUUUAUUUUUUUUACCCAUAAUAAUCCAACUAAAAAAGAUGGAGUGUGAUGUUUGCAUGCUGUAUUUUUAGAGACAUUCCAUAAGUUUGUUUUUUCUGUCCCAUGUGUUCCUCACUCAAAAGCGAUCCACAUGCAAAAGUAACUAAAGGACAUUUCUCCAUAUUCUCUUCAAUGUUUCCAUGCGCCAAGGUAUUGCAUAGGACUUGGGGCUCGUGGGACUCCCUUCCACAUUGCUUAUGCAAUUUACAAUGGCUUAGUUCUUUUUUCCCCCCUUCCUAAAACUACAGCUCUAAAUUAAUGACAGUCACCUCUGCUGUUUGGAAAGAACUCCUGUCAAUAAUUUGUUCAACAUUUGAAGAAAAUGUUUUACAUUGAUGCAUCAAUGCACUGCCACAGGUCUGAGUGUAGACUAUGCAGUAUGCUUAUAUUAAAAAAUUCCUGAGUGUCUCAAAGAAAGGUGACAAGACCCUGAAGUUAAGUACCUUCCAUUCAGCUACUUGGGGGGCCCUUUUUUAAAAUCAAGCGGCAUUGGACUAAAACUUUGGACCUUCAAAUCUUAAUUUUCUACAGAGCCAUGUCAAAGCCAUGCCCAAAAUAAAAACACCUUUACCUGCGACAGUGCAUUACUGUGUACACUGCUGACAUGUACCCAUGACAGAGGGAUGAUUUUGGUAAUCUGUGCUUCAGUUUGGGGUAUGAUAUGACAACAACAAAAAAAAAAAAAAUUAAAUAUGAAAAUAAAAAGAAUAUAUACACACUGCUACUAUCCUCAAAUGAGAAGACAAUAAAAGAUCAGACAGAAAAACACCUUUUAGGAAACAUGCUUAUCUGCAAAUAUUUUGGGGUUUCAAAAGCAAAGGUCACACAGGGAGGCACAUGUGCCACGACAAAUUGGUAGCCAAUUGGAUCAGGGUUUUAGUUCAAGCUAGGCCAAAUUAAUGAAGGUGAAGCUCACCAUACACAUAUUUAAAAAAAAAAAAAAAAAAAAUCAACAACCACUCAUUCUGAACCAGUAGUUUCACAAGUUCUAUGUCAACACACACACACACACACACACACACACUGACAUUACUUAAUAUUUCAUUUCAACAUGAUAUAGUGAACACCAAAAGAUAAAAAUAAAAUAAAAACAAAACCCAUAUGGAGAACAAAAAGCAUUUGUACCUUAGUGUAGUUACGCCUUUUUUUAGAUUGAACAUUUGCCCCACCACUUACACUGCUAUCAAUCUGUUUAGCUGCAGCAGGGAGAACCAGUUUUGGCCUUUCCGAGGAUGGAUAGAAAAUGAAGACAUGCUACCUGCAAGUAUUUCUCCUUCUGCUGUUACAGGAGAGUAAGACAACAGAUAGGUUUCAUUAAAAUAAAAAUCCAGCCAAAUUAACUAGGAAGGGCAAGUUUUCUAUUAAUUUUCUUAUAGGUUAUCUGAGGGACAACAAAUAAAAUUUUUGUCAUCUUUAAAUCAAGAGUCAUAUAAUAAAACUGCAACUUCAAAAUAUUUUGAACGUAUUUAUAGCACCAAUAGUGUGUACCAUUAAAAUUACAAAAGAAACAGAG
ensembl:lncRNA